rfam:Lactobacillus kunkeei strain LAko contig006, whole genome shotgun sequence.
GUUUAUCUUCAGGGCAGGGUUAGAUUCCCGACCGGCGGUUACAGCCCGCUACCUAUCGUUUGAUAGUUGAUUUGGUGAAAUUCCAAAGCCGACAGUACAGUCUGGUAUAAAGAAGAUCUCU